ACUUUGUGCAAAAACGUGUAUAUUUUUGUUUUGGCUUUGGAGGAAGCACGUGGUUAAUAUAAGUAUAAGCAGUUUUAUUUAAUAUAAAAUGCUAAAAUGCUGUGGACGUCGCACAAUGGGACUAAAAGAGACUCAAAUAAAAAAAGCUAUCUUUUUCUUGAUUGGAGACUAUCACUUUUCACUCAAAUAAUUUAUGUGCAAAAUGCUACUGCUGCAUAUUAAUCAACUUAAUCAGUGCAACAAGAGCAUAAAGAGAGAGAGACUAAAUGCCAAUGAUUCUGUGGUAGACGUAAUCAAUGACAAGGAAUCGAAUGAUAAUUCUGUGCAUUGUAUAGAAUGUUGACUGAUUCCAGGAGAUUAUGUUAACUGCUUAGUGUGUUUCUAAUAUGUUGAUGGCUUGUCGUCUUGCGUCUUUUGUCUUUUGUUGUUUUGUUUUUUUAUCACAAGGCUGGUACGUAAAAUAAAUUUUCUAAUUGAUAUUGUUUAUGACCUGAGUCUUUUGUUGAACGUAUGUAUAAAAAAAUAGUAAGAAAGUAAGUAAGAAGAAAUUUUGCUUUAUAAAAUAUUUAAAAAUAGAAGCUGUACUGGAAAACCCCUAUCUGCCUGUGUUGCCUUGUCUGUAUUGGUCAUGUGUUUGAUAUAGCAACUGUGCUUCAUAGUUUGAACCAAAGCCUGUACAAAUCCUUGUAGCCAUGGAAAGUUACCUGUGCCACAAACAUGUACACAGGUGUCCCGGAGCCUCAUCUGUUGUGGAAAGAAGCUGGCAGGUCUCAUCAUGCCCUGCACAAUGUCUGUGGAAGGGAUUGAAUACACCGUGUGAUUAUAUUAAGGCUUAGUGUCAGAGAGAUUCUUAUUGCUGUAAUUCUGUCUGUCGCUCCCUCCCCUGCAGACUUCCUCCUGCUGCUGAGUCAAUCCCGGAACAUUCCCUGCUUCACGGUGACUAAUGCACCUCAAAUAGACUGCUUACGCUGCUGCAUAUUGAUCUAGAUUGGUGAUCACCUAGCCUCAUGCACAGUAGACAGCCAAAUCUUGAGCAAUACAAUAGAAGAGGGAGAAAGAAAGACUGCAGUGACGCCGAAAGUGAUUCAUGAAGUAGAGUGCUUAAAUUACAGUGGCCAGCCUCUAGCAUCUAGCCGUCUGAAUGUUUACAGAGCGCUGCAUGGAACCUUAUCUGCAGGAGGCCAGGUCAUUAUCGGUCAGUUUCUUAUAACUGUGGUUGCAAGAUUUAUUUCACAUCUUAUAAUGAGACAUUAUUUUAGGCAGGAGAAAUACAGAAAGCAAACUUUAGUUUAGAGUUAAAAGCACAUUCCCAUCAAGUCAGACUUUUAAGAAUAAAAAAAGUAUGUCCAAUUUGUGAAACA
rnacentral:lncRNA from 1 species